GACGAACGCUGGCGGCGUGCCUAAUACAUGCAAGUAGAACGCUGAAGAGAGGAGCUUGCUCUUCUUGGAUGAGUUGCGAACGGGUGAGUAACGCGUAGGUAACCUGCCUUGUAGCGGGGGAAAACUAUGGGAAAGAAUGGCAAAACCCGCUUAAAAUGGAUGACAACAUGUAUUUUUUUUGAAAGGGGCAUUUCCCCCCUUCAAGAUGGGACUGCGUUGUAUUAGCUAGUAGGUGAGGUAAUGGCUCACCUAGGCGACGAAACAUAGCCGACCUGAGAGGGUGAUCGGCCACACUGGGACUGAGACACGGCCCAGACUCCUACGGGAGGCAGCAGUAGGGAAUCUUCGGCAAUGGGGGCAACCCUGACCGAGCAACGCCGCGUGAGUGAAGAAGGUUUUCGGAUCGUAAAGCUCUGUUGUAAGUCAAGAACGGGUGUGAGAGUGGAAAGUUCACACUGUGACGGUAGCUUACCAGAAAGGGACGGCUAACUACGUG
rnacentral:rRNA from 1 species